rnacentral:rRNA from 1 species
UACGGGGGGGGCAAGCGUUGUUCGGAAUUACUGGGCGUAAAGGGCUCGUAGGCGGCCAACUAAGUCAGACGUGAAAUCCCUAGGCUCAACCUAGGAACUGCGUCUGAUACUGGACGGCUUGAAUCCGGGAGAGGGAUGCAGAAUUCCAGGUGUAGCGGUGAAAUGCGUAGAUAUCUGGAGGAAUACCGGUGGCGAAGGCGGCAUCCUGGACCGGCAUUGACGCUGAGGAGCGAAAGCUAGGGGAGCAAAGCGGG